GAUGAACGCUGGCGGCGUGCCUAAUACAUGCAAGUCGAGCGAACAGACGAGGAGCUUGCUCCUCUGACGUUAGCGGCGGACGGGUGAGUAACACGUGGAUAACCUACCUAUAAGACUGGGAUAACUUCGGGAAACCGGAUCUAAUACCGGAUAAUAUAUUGAACCGCAUGGUUCAAUAGUGAAAGACGGUUUUGCUGUCACUUAUAGAUGGAUCCGCGCCGCAUUAGCUAGUUGGUAAGGUAACGGCUUACCAAGGCGACGAUGCGUAGCCGACCUGAGAGGGUGAUCGGCCACACUGGAACUGAGACACGGUCCAGACUCCUACGGGAGGCAGCAGUAGGGAAUCUUACGCAAUGGGCGAAAGCAUGACGGAGCAACGCCGCGUGAGUGAUGAAGGUCUUCGGAUCGUAAAACUCUGUUAUUAGGGAAGAACAAAUGUGUAAGUAACUAUGCACGUAUUGACGGUACCUAAUCAGAAAGCCACGGCUAACUACGUG
rnacentral:rRNA from 1 species